GGUAACCUCAGUGGCUUCUAGCACACUGUGGCUUUGUCCAGCAUGAGGCAGGGCCAUGUUGCCUGCCACAGGGCGAAGCCUGGCGCCUACCCGGGGCUGCUGCUGAUGGCAUGACCACCGACUCGGGGAGCCAGUACCCGGGGCCAGUUGCUGGGACAGCAGUGGUGUGACCGCCAUGGGGGCCUGGGUAGAUUCCAGGCGGGCAAGGUACCUGAGCAGGGUGUUGGGAGAGCCGAGGUGUAGGUGGCAGAAAAAUCACCGAGAACUGUGCCCGGCACGUGGCGAGCCCUCGGUGUGUCUUAGAGACUGUCAUCGUCAGCGGUUAGACAGGACCUUCCAGAGAGCACCCGAGUGCCCGUGGGAAAGCACGUGAGAAGCUGCCCUUUACAGCGGGUGCUCCAGGAGACCCCCAGCUUCGGUGUGGACUGCACGGCGACUUCCAGAGAGCACAGGUGCCAGGAAGACGUUGACAAGCACACCUCAGCCAGGCCAGCCAGGCCACAUCUGCAGGGCUUAUCAUGAGAGGAACAUCACCAAUGCCAGCAGAGGGACAGUCUGCAGAUCCCUGCCCAGCACGUCAUCUGAACCAGGGAAGCCUGAGACCGUCCUGGCCAAGAGGAGCCUGAGAAAACGUGAUGAGUAAAUGUCACCUGGGGUCCGGGACGGGUCCUGAAGCAGUAGAAAGACACGAGGUAAAAACUAAGAAAACCUGAAUAAAGUCCAGACUCUAGUUAACAA